CCCUUAGAUGUUCUGGGCUGCACGCGUGCUACACUGAUAUUGCCAAUAUGUCAUUCUUAUCCGAAAUGGAUUGGGUAAUCAAGUAAUGAAAUUUCAUGCUUGGAAUCGGUAAUUGCAAUUUUAUCGUGAACGAGGAAUUCCUAGUAAGCACUAGUCAUCAGCUAAUGUUGAUUAUGUCCCUGCCCUUUGUACACACCGCCCGUCGCUCCUACCGAUUGGGUGAGCCGAUGAAACUCUCGGAUGUAGGCUAUUCAUAGCCCGCAGAAGAGAUUUGAAUCGUAGCGCUUAGAGGAAGGAGAAGUCGUAACA
rnacentral:rRNA from 1 species